rnacentral:piRNA from 1 species
UACAGUGCCCAUUCCUGGAGCUUGCCUCUGUC